AGAGCGGAGCAGCCAUCGGGGGCGCCGUAUCUCCACUAUCACGCCCAGCUCGACGCCUUUCAGCUCCGACACAGAGAGGAGCCACCGCCCGAGCCGUACCAACUAGUGGCUGCGGCUCGAAAUGAAUAUUUACAAAGGAGACGAGAAGCAAACCAGUACAAGGUUCGAGCGGAGAAGCAGCUGGGUCUACGUCCAUCCACGGCAGAGCGCCCCCACAGGCCCGGAGGUCACAUGAACGCAAUGGGACCAAACCAACACACACCACAUGACAAGAAACACGACGGACGACAGGAGUAUUUGCGUGAACUGGAGCUGAUCCGGCUGCAGUAUCAUCAGGACGUGAAGGAGAUGAAGCAGAGAGCGGAGGGGAAGAGAGGAAUCAUGUUUGAGAUCAGACUGAACGAACUGCAAGAAGAAACGAAAGAUGAAGAUGUGAAAACAGCUGGAAGACAGAAAGAGGACGUGGACCCUCUGAACCAGACGCUGAACUUUGAGGAUGGAGAACAGCUGCAGCUCUGUGAUUGGCUGGAGCAGAGAAGGGGGUGGAGUCAGAGGGUUCCUGAAACCUUAUUGGAGGCUUUGGGAAACAGGGACGUGAUGACUGCCACCGCCUGCACUGUCCAAACUGAGCCAGAUGGUGCGGUGCGUCGGCAGUGGACAGAGGGAGCUCAGAGCGCGCUCCUCGAGGCUCUGGACCAGGCUGAGCUUCAACACGCCACCCU
ensembl:lncRNA